ACAACAUUCGGACGGUCGGUCUACCGAGCAAUAUCACCCGCUCGGUGGAAGAUCUUCCUUUCGUCGC
rnacentral:pre_miRNA from 1 species